rnacentral:rRNA from 1 species
UACGUAGGGUGCGAGCGUUGUCCGGAAUUAUUGGGCGUAAAGAGCUUGUAGGCGGUUUGUCGCGUCUGCUGUGAAAAUCCGGGGCUCAACCCCGGGCUUGCGGUGGGUACGGGCAGACUAGAGUGUGGUAGGGGAGACUGGAAUUCCUGGUGUAGCGGUGAAAUGCGCAGAUAUCAGGAGGAACACCGAUGGCGAAGGCAGGUCUCUGGGCCACUACUGACGCUGAGAAGCGAAAGCAUGGGGAGCGAACAGG